UGGAGAUCUUGUCCUUGGCCACCCCCUGGUUGUCUUGGCCCCUCAUGACAUUUCUGCCAUAGUCAACCAGGUCCAACUUAAGCAUGUUACUCCUGCUAGGCAUCUUCACCUUCAAUGUCAUCUUUUGUUGCCUGACCACAUUACCCUUCAAAGAUGUCAAAUUCUCAAUCCGUCCACUCUUCUGCCACUCCCUGAGGGGGAUGUAUACUACGGAUUCAUCAUGGACGAAACUUAUGUUUUUCUUCUCACUGGCACCAUCAAGAAGGAAAUGCAUCCCAACCUAUCCUUUCAUGAUGGACAAGCACUCCUUCAUGACGGAGCAGGAUAUGCCUUCUGUACCAUGUGGUACAAACCAAACAUCACUCCUGAACCCUGCUAUGAAGAUGAACUCUAUCAUUUGGUCGAAGUAAAACUCACUGCACAAGACUUCUACUGUGAUUCUGAAGGCAACAGUAUGGUCUUGAUUCAUCUACCUCCGGAACUCAAGUAUUUGUACCGUCAUUGGGACACUGCCAUUCCACAUGUCCCUGUGACCAAGUUGAAAACAAUAUCAUGGAAUGAUCUUGGGCCUAUGGCAAAAGCAUGGGCCACUAUGGACGAAUCACAGCUACAGGAAAAUGGUGUUGUCAAAUAUCCAACAACUGACCACCUAAAAGCAUGGCCACGUCAUUUCCUGGAAAAUGAGUUCCAAGAUUUAACCAUAGUAAAUGACUACGACCCAAAU